AUUGAACGCUGGCGGCAGGCCUAACACAUGCAAGUCGAACGAGUGGCGGACGGGUGAGUAAUGUCUGGGAAACUGCCCGAUGGAGGGGGAUAACUACUGGAAACGGUCGCUAAUACCGCAUACUAUCGGAUGGACCCAGAUGGGUUUAGCUAGUAGGUGGGGUAACGGCUCACCUAGGCCACGAUCCCUAGCUGGUCUGAGAGGAUGACAAGCCACACUGGGACUGAGCAACGGUCCAGACUCCUCCGGGAGGCAGCAGUGGGGAAGAUUGCACAAUGGGCGCAAGCCUGAUGCAGCCAUGCCGCGUGUAUGAAGAAGGCCUUCGGGUUGUAAAGUACUUUCAGCGGGGAGGCGUUACUCGCAGAAGAAGCACCGGCUAACUCCGUGCCAGCCGCCGCGGUAAUAC
rnacentral:rRNA from 1 species